rfam:Myotis lucifugus cont2.21076, whole genome shotgun sequence.
UAUUAUGCCAUGAUAUUGUGUCAAUAUGCGAUGAUGUGUGUGAUGGCACAGCGUCAUCACAUGGUGACGCAACAUCAUGACGUAAGA